GUGCAUCAACAUAAAAAUGACAUGAAAGGAAAAUUAACAACAAGAACUAGAAGAGCAAAGGUGUAAUAACAAGGGAUUAAAAGGAAAAACUAAAUCAAAACAAGAAUUGAAAGCUAAAUCUAAGAGAGAUUAACCUAACUUUAUCCUAAUUUCUACCCUAAUUCUAGAGAGAAGAGAGAGCUUCUCCCUCUAGAAACCUAACCUAAAACAUGAUAAAAACUCAACUAUCACUACUUGGUUCAUUCCCCCUUCAAUCCUUGGGUUCAAUAGCAUCAGAAAUGAGUUGGAUUCGGACCUGGAUGGCUCAGAAAUCACCCUAGCGUAUUGCCUUUAAGUUGGUCACGUGCUGCUUCCCACGCGUAUGCAUGGGCCACGUAUACGCGUCGCCUGGCAGGUUUCCUUCCCACGUAUACGCAUGGGCCACGUAUACGCGUUGCCAUGAAUUCAGCAAAUUCUCAUUUUUUCAUGAAUUUUCCAUUUUUACAUACUUUUUCUUCAUUCCUUCAAUCUAAUCUUUGCCUUCUAAAUCUGAAAUCACUUAACAAACAUAUCAAGACAUCGAAUGGAAUUAGAGUGAAUUAAAUUUAUCAAUUUUUGGGUCUAAAAAACAUAAAUUAAAGUAUUAAAUUAUUUUGUGAAAUUUUACUUCAUAUGAUUGUAAUUGAUACUAUUGUCUCACACAUUUGUAUAAUUAAAGUAUUAAAUUAUUGCUUAAAUGGACUAAAAAAGUACAUAAAAAAAAUUUUGAAUAGACAAAAAUAUAUACCAAAAAUUCAUAAAUAUUAAAGUACAUAUUAGAGAUUAUUUUUUACACAUAAAAGUGUCAUGUUUGUGUAGUAGUAAAAGUUUGAUAUUUACAAAUCUUUGAGGUGUACUUUUGUUUAUAAAAAAUAAUUUUCAUAAUCUACUUUGAUUCUUAUGAAUCUUAGUGUGUAUUUUUGUCUACUUAAAUUCUUUCAUGUGUACUUAUGUUUAUACUCUAAAUUGUUUUUAAUAGUUGUUUUAUAUCAAAUCGUAUAUGCCUUAGAAAGUUUCUCAAUGAUCAUUGUCUCAACAAUAAAAAGAAAAAGGUUUAAACAUGAUCAUAUUAAAUUAAAAUAUAAGAAAAUAAAUACCAAAACUACAAUAUUCAUUCGUACGGGUAUUAUAUGUUUAACGCAGCAUUAAACAUCUCAACGCAUUGGACCCUCAUCUUUUCGUUUUUUGGAUAGAGAUUGUUGCAUUCGUAGAUAAUACAUCCUAUAAUGCAAUGUUUCUGCUUUAUCUGAUUCCGAUCAAAGCGCAUCUCGCACUCAUGGAUACAAACGGGAAAAGUAAAGGAAAUUGUAAUAUAAGAACUUGCUAAAAUUACUAACAUUGUAAUUGC
rnacentral:lncRNA from 1 species